CCUACGGGCGGCAGCAGUGGGGAAUAUUGCACAAUGGGGGAAACCCUGAUGCAGCGACGCCGCGUGAGUGAUGAAGUAUUUCGGUAUGUAAAGCUCUAUCAACAGGGAAGAAAAUGACGGUACCUGACUAAGAAGCCCCGGCCAACUACGUGCCAGCAGCCGCGGUAAUACGUAGGGGGCAAGCGUUAUCCGGAUUUACUGGGUGUAAAGGGAGCGUAGACGGUCCUGCAAGCCAGAUGUGAAAGCUGGGGGCGCAACCCCGGGAUUGCAUUUGAAACUGUAAGGCUAGAGUGUCGUAGAGGUAGGCGGAAUUCGUAGUGUAGCGGUGAAAUGCGUAGAUAUUACGAGGAACACCAGUGGCGAAGGCAG
rnacentral:rRNA from 1 species